rnacentral:rRNA from 1 species
AGUGAACGCUGGCGGUAGGCUUAACACAUGCAAGUCGAACGAUAGCACUGUACGAGCUAGCGCUUAUGGUUGGGGAGGGGCGGGUGGGUGAGGAGAACAUGCGAAUCUACUUUUUCGUAGUGGUCAACGGAGGGACAAAUACCCCAAAAGCCCUUAGGAGGAACGGGGGGAAUCUUCGGACCUUCGGAUCUAGGGGGGUCCGAUGUCUGAUUAGCUAGUUGGUGGGGUAAUGGCCUACCAAGGCGACGAUCAGUAGCUGGUCUGAGAGGAUGACCAGCCACACUGGAACUGAGACACGGUCCAGACUCCUACGGGAGGCAGCAGUGGGGAAUAUUGGACAAUGGGCGCAAGCCUGAUCCAGCCAUACCGCGUGAGUGAAGAAGGCCUUCGGGUUGUAAAGCCCUUUUGUAAGGGAAGAAAACUAGCCGGUUAAUACACCGCUAUGCUGACGGUACCCAAAGAAGAAGCACCGGCUAACUUCGUG